UGAAACCCAAAGGAAUUGACGGGGGCCCGCACAAGCGGUGGGGCAUGUGGUUUAAUUCGAAGCAACGCGAAGAACCUUACCAGGUCUUGACAUCCCUCUGGCCGCUCUAGAGAUAGAGUUUUCCUUCGGGACAGAGGUGACAGGUGGUGCAUGGUUGUCGUCAGCUCGUGUCGUGAGAUGUUGGGUUAAGUCCCGCAACGAGCGCAACCCCUAUUGUUAGUUGCCAUCAUUCAGUUGGGCACUCUAGCGAGACUGCCGGUAAUAAACCGGAGGAAGGUGGGGAUGACGUCAAAUCAUCAUGCCCCUUAUGACCUGGGCUACACACGUGCUACAAUGGCUGGUACAACGAGUCGCAAGCCGGUGACGGCAAGCUAAUCUCUGAAAGCCAGUCUCAGUUCGGAUUGUAGGCUGCAACUCGCCU
rnacentral:rRNA from 1 species